AAGGGGCGAGGUUUUCCAUUUCCAUUCGUCGGCUUCAUCUGGGGAAGAAAGAUUACUGAACUUACAUACGUUGGCGAGGAGUAGAUUUCUUGUGAGUGUAACGAUGGAUUUGGAGAGACCAGGUGGGCGUGGGGCAAACCAGUUGAGGCCGAUGGACUGUUCUCGCAACGUUCUCAGCCGCGCACAUGGCUCUGCUAGUUGUUCUCAUGGGGAGACAAGGGUGCUAGCUGCUGUUUAUGGCCCUAAAGCUGGGACAAAGAAGAAUGAAAACCCAGAGAAAGCUUGUAUUGAAGUCAUUUGGAAACCCAAAACAGGGCAGAUUGGAAAAACUGAGAAGGAAUUUGAGAUGAUACUGAAGAGAUCAUUACAGAAUAUGUGCCUUUUAAAUGUUCAUCCAAAUACCACAACAUCAAUUGUUAUUCAGGUUGUCCAUGAUGAUGGCUCUCUUCUGCCAUGUGCUCUACAUGCAGCAUGUGCUGCUCUAGUUGAUGCUGGAAUUCCUUUGAAAUAUCUUGCUGUGGCCACGUGUUGUUGCCUAACAGAAAGUGGACAGAUUAUAUUGGACCCAAGCAAGCUAGAAGAAGAGAGUAUGAAGGCGUUCGUAUGCUUAGCUUUCCCCAGCUCAGUUCAAUCUGUAUGCACUGAAGGAGCAACAAAGGAUGGCGGAGAACCUGCGCCACAUGGCAUUAUUACAUCACUUACACAUGGUUUGAUGACAGUGACUGAAUACUUCCAGUGCUUGGAACAAGCGCGGGCGGCUAUUACACCUCUGUCGAAGAUUCUGAAAAGGAAAAUGCAAUCACAGCCAGCCAGCUACCAAUCUUGAAAUGCUCAUAGCAGAACAAGAAGGGAAAUUACAUCUUGAAACGUUGAAAUUUUUGCUGCAAGCCUAGCCAGGUUUUGGUCUUGAAAAGUUAUCUGCAGAUUAGGGGUGAUGAUGUCGAAUUUGUGGAUAUAGAAAAUGGAAUGGUACAUUGUGACCUAACUAGAGAGUGUGGUUGUGCAGUGAUUAAGGUUUGGUUGAGGAUAAUGGAUAAUUGACAGAUGGAGUGGAGGAGAAUCGAUUUUAAAGCAGCAGCUUCCACCUUCAACUUGUAGUCACUACCACCACCCAAUGCUUAAUUAUCACAUUAUUGUUUGAUUGGAUUGCUACAAUCGAAAGGGAGAGAUAUUCCUUA